CCUACGGGUGGCUGCAGUGGGGAAUUUUGGGCAAUGGGCGAAAGCCUGACCCAGCAACGCCGCGUGAAGGAUGAAAUCCCUCUGGGAUGUAAACUUCGAAAGUCGGGAAAGAAAUCGCCAUGGAGAAUACCUGUGGUGGAUGACGGUACCCGACGUAAGCCCCGGCUAACUACGUGCCAGCAGCCGCGGUAAUACGUAGGGGGCAAGCGUUGUUCGGAAUUACUGGGCGUAAAGGGCGCGUAGGCGGCAUGGCAAGUCGGGAGUGAAAGCCCGGGGCUCAACCCCGGAACUGCUUUCGAAACUGCCAAGCUAGAGUACGGAAGGGGCAACUGGAAUUCCCAGUGUAGCGGUGAAAUGCGUAGAUAUUGGGAAGAACACCGGAGGCGAAGGCGGGUUGCUGGGCCGAUACUGACGCUGAGGCGCGAAAGCCAGGGGAGCAAACGGGAUUAGAUACCCUGGUAGUC
rnacentral:rRNA from 1 species